CCUGUCUGGAAACUUGACCGAGCUGAUGGAGAAGGGUGCCGUGACGGUGUUUGCCGAGUGGAUCCGCAAGUAUGGUGACGUGGUUGGGUUUUUCUUCGGAGCCUCGCCUAUGUUGAUCAUCAAAAACUUGGACCUGAUUAAAAAGAUUCAAGUACACGACUUCUCCAACUUUCAUGACAG